UUCGAGUUCUUGGCGUAAAACGGACGUUAAUACCGGUGGAGGAAAAAAGUUUUAAAGGCAACUAAAUAUUGUUAUUUAAACGCAGUGUAUUAAACUAAAUAUAAAACAAAUUGUUUGUUUAACAAACAAACUUUUUUGGCAUAAACAAAAAAAUGUGAAAAAACGACAAAACAAACAGUGUAAAGGAAACAUAAUAAAGUGUGUUUGUGUGUGUUAAUAAAUUUGCUGAUAAGUCAUGGUAACAAUAAAAUUUUUAUUGUCUGUGGUUGUAAUUUAAGUGCAUCUUGGAAUAGAGCAACAAAAAAACUUAAAUAAAUAAUAAGUAAAGUGUUAAAACAAAAUGCCGAAAAUAUAAAGUUUUUUUUUUUUUGCAAAAUAGUAAUAAGCAGCCAAAAAAUUAAUGUGCGGAAACACGUUGUAUUUGUUUUGGUUUAAAUUGUACUAAUUAACUAGAAAAAUAAAAUUCUUAAAAAAAUAAAAUAAUUUAUCAAUGAAAUAUUAAAAAAACGAAAUUACUUUCAAUUACCAGCUGUUGGUUAUAAUUCAAUAUAUUUACAAUUGAUAACAGUUAAAAAAAAUAUUACUUACUACUGAUUAAUGUCUAUUCAUUUAUUACUAUCAGAAGCAAAAAAAAAAAAAAAACAAUUUAAAAAAUUAAAAAAAAUAUGCAGAUCUAAUAAAAAAUAAACAAGUGCAAAAGUUUAAUAAAUAAAAAUUUUAAUAAUAAAUAAAAAAAUACAUAGUUAUACAUGUGUGUUAAACUUUAUUAAAUAACAACUGUGUAUAUAACAAAUUUUUAAUAAAUUCAUUAAAUAAUUGAAGUGUUGAAAUCUACAUUUCAAAUCUAAUAUAUUCAAAAGAAAUUGUGAAUUUAAUUAAUUGAAGUGUUAGUUUUAAACAAUUGUAAUUGAAAGCAACAUUUUCAACAACCAUUAAGGAUUUCAUUUAAAUAUUAAAUAAAUUUGAUUUAAUGUCGAUUAAAAUAACUCUUUAACAAUCGAAUCACUGAUACUGUCAGAGUUUUAGAGAUUAAAAUUGUGGUAAGUCUGUGUAAAUUUAUUACCAACUAUUAUUAAGAUUUUAAUGCAAAUAAUUUUUAAGUCGCAUAAUAAUUGUCUGAUAGUGA